rnacentral:lncRNA from 1 species
GGGACUGUGAUACUACACAUACGCCUAACAUAGACCCUCACAGUGCACAGGGACAUCUAAUGUCUGAAUCAGAGACUGCAGCUAAGUACAUUCCUCAGGCUAUGGCCACACAAUGUAGAUAAGAAGCGCACAAGGAAGAGGCUGGAGUGGUGCAGCCAAAGCAGCUCCUUGCGAUGUUUGUUUACUUGUAUUAUAUGUUUCCUAGCUGUUAAAGACUGGUGGGCCUGUGGGCCUGCUGUCCCCCUGUCACGGACACAGAUCCAUAGAUGACACCAUGACAAAUACGAAGCAGAUGCAGAAGGUGAUGCCAGGUCAGAAAAGAAAACUGUGUGAAAGAGCUCUUGAAUCCUGUAUUUAUUGGACUUUACAUGAAACAGAUUAUUGGAGUCAGAGUGAAUCUACAGAGUAUUUGCAACAGAAAUGUAUGUUGGGAUCUUAUUUG